UCCACGGUUGGGAAUGAUUUGCAAUCAUAUGGCGAAAAACGAAGAGCAUAUCCACUGUCGUCAAUGUCUAUAAUGUCCAUAUGAAUCUCUUCACAGGCUCGUUCCAAAACUUGAACCAACUAUAUCAAUCAAAAAGAGACAAAGUUUCCAGGGCAUUCCCCAAUUUCUUUAGCUUUAGGACGAUACUGAAAUACUACAACCGGAACGAUACUAUCCAUUAAGACCUAGAUAAAAAAGAAUUUAAAAAUAUGUAAUAAUUAACCAUGCAGAACACUUCGAAGUGAAAGCUGUUCCUCUUACCUCGGGCUUCGUUUUCUCGUUAUCACAUAGUUCUGCGUCAUCAUCACGAACGUUAGUUACUCCAUCGUCUUCCAUGGGUGAUUCAUUUCUUUCAAGUAAAUCACCUAUUUCUUCCACUAUCUUUCUUACUUCGGAUAUCUCAUCGCCUUUACUAUCGACGACUUCACCUAAUUGGACACUCUCUAAAUCUUCGGUUAAGAUUACAUACAAGCCAAACAUUGCGUCGACGGAACGUACCAUAAUUUGAAUAUUAGGAAUGGUGACAAGGCGAUUGAUAAGCAUCCUGCUAAGUUCAACCGCCGAUCGAAAGCGAUUACUGAUGGUUGUGGAGUCCAAAUUCUAGAAUUUAGAAUACAAUUCUUUGUCAUCACUAA